rnacentral:rRNA from 1 species
GCAAAUUGCCUAAAUACCAUAAAAACACCAGAUCCCAUUUGUUCUUGAAAGCUAAACAGGGCCAAUCUGGUUAGUACUUGGAUAAGAGAUCACCAAUGAUUGCCAAGUGCUGCAGGCU